GACGAACGCUGGCGGCGUGCUUAACACAUGCAAGUCGAACGGUGAAGCCCAGCUUGCUGAUUUGCUGACGAGUGGCGGACGGGUGAGUAAUGUCUGGGAAACUGCCUGAUGGAGGGGGAUAACUACUGGAAACGGUAGCUAAUACCGCAUAACGUCGCAAGACCAAAGAGGGGGACCUUCGGGCCUCUUGCCAUCGGAUGUGCCCAGAUGGGAUUAGCUAGUAGGUGGGGUAACGGCUCACCUAGGCGACGAUCCCUAGCUGGUCUGAGAGGAUGACCAGCCACACUGGAACUGAGACACGGUCCAGACUCCUACGGGAGGCAGCAGUGGGGAAUAUUGCACAAUGGGCGCAAGCCUGAUGCAGCCAUGCCGCGUGUAUGAAGAAGGCCUUCGGGUUGUAAAGUACUUUCAGCGGGGAGGAAGGGAGUAAAGUUAAUACCUUUGCUCAUUGACGUUACCCGCAGAAGAAGCACCGGCUAACUCCGUGCCAGCCGC
rnacentral:rRNA from 1 species